UACGUAGGGUGCAAGCGUUAAUCGGAAUUACUGGGCGUAAAGCGUGCGCAGGCGGUUAUGCAAGACAGAUGUGAAAUCCCCGGGCUCAACCUGGGAACUGCAUUUGUGACUGCAUAGCUAGAGUACGGUAGAGGGGGAUGGAAUUCCGCGUGUAGCAGUGAAAUGCGUAGAUAUGCGGAGGAACACCGAUGGCGAAAGGCAAUCCCCUGGACCUGUACUGACGCUCAUGCACGAAAGCGUGGGGAGCAAACAGG
rnacentral:rRNA from 1 species